CCCUUAGACGUUCUGGGCCGCACGCGCGCUACACUGACCAGUGCAACAAGCAUCCGUCCUUGGCCGACAGGCCCGGGCAAUCUUUGAACGCUGGUCGUGAUGGGGAUAGACUUUUGCAAUUUUUGGUCUUCAACGAGGAAUUCCUAGUAAACGCAAGUCAUCAACUUGCAUUGAUUACGUCCCUGCCCUUUGUACACACCGCCCGUCGCACCUACCGAUUGAAUGGUCCGGUGAAGCCUCCGGAUUGGCGCACACCUCGGUGCCGCCGAGAAGUUGGCUAAACCUUACCAUUUAGAGGAAGGUGAANUCGUAACA
rnacentral:rRNA from 1 species